rnacentral:lncRNA from 1 species
UUUCCUCCUGCACGACAGGAGGGAGCGAUUCACCCAGAGGAUCCGGGAGGCGCUGAGCAUCGGACGCAGGACCACAAGAUUUCACAGGCUGUGCUAACGCCGUGCUAGCUUCUCCCAGCAGGGAAAGCAGAGCUGGGCACACCAGGCUUCCUGCUCCUGGAAGCAAGGAGGUGGCCACGAUGCGUGCCAGUAUGCUGAAGGUCAGAGCCUUAGCUUUUUACCUACUUGCUGUGCUCUCCUGGGGAGAUACGAGCAGUUCCCGGUGUGUGGGCACACUGAGGGCUUUUUCUGGUUGCUGUCACUUUUCUCCUGCUGCCCUGUCUCAAGUCACCUGCAACGCAAAGGAGAAAUCUCCAGAAAAUCACGGGAAGGGCUGGCUUUGAGGAGAGGCAGCAGGGAGGCUGUUCCUGCUGCGGAGAGUGGCUCUGGAGCUAGAGCAGCGAGAGAGAGUGGAGAAAAAAAGAGAGAAAACAGCAACAGAGCACGAGAUCCUUCAUUCCUGCCACCCUGCCAAAUGCAAUAACACUCCAUC